CAAAUCGGCAGCGUUGUCGCCCGCCAAAACCUCGAGCCUAGCGAGAGGUGCCGGCGGGAGGAAAGUCCGAACACUCAUUUGCCUUUGGCGAAUAAAAUGGUAGCGGGUAACGCCCGUCGAUUGGCUUAAUUUAUUAUGUCAAUCAGAGGUGCGAGCAGAGACGAUUGUUUUUGAAAAAAAACAUUCACCCCGAGAGUAAUCAAGGGGUGCAGCUCAGUAGUAAUACUGAGAGUGAAACGGCUAAAUCCUUACUUGAGUGCAAGAGCAAGAUUUCCAUUGCUUGCAAUGGGAUAUGGUAGCUCGCUUGAACCGGCCAGCAAUGACCGGGCCAGAUAGAUGACAACUAAAACAGAAUUCGGCUUACUCGCCGGUUUGGAGC
rnacentral:RNase_P_RNA from 1 species